UUACUUCUUUGCAUUGCCUUUCAGUUGCUGCCUAGCACUGGUGUAAAUGAAUACGUUCUAUAAAUGGCCUCUCUGUCAGUGGGCAACUUGUUUCACUUUUGGCUGGGUACCAUACUGAAAACAUUCUGCUGCACGGCUUGAAUCUUGUGGUAAUUGGGCAAUAUAAAGGCAUCCAUGCCCAAGAAAGGAUUCUAAAACAUGUAAAUAGUGGCUGUUUAGAAGGCACCAUUUAUUUAGAGCUUUCUCUGCACACUGCCAUCAUCAUCACGUAUGUCAUCAGUAAGAAAUGCUGAGCAUGAAAACAGCUGAGAAAAAUUUUCAAGGAAGUCUGAAACAGUUUUGGGCAGAAUGUCAACACUUGAUAACUAUCUCCUGAUUGGUUACUGUUCUCACUGCACAGCAAAGAUCGCUUUUAUCUGAGGUGGUGUUCAGUGUGGCCUUGAUUCUGACCAAUCAUAACUGAUUCUACUUAAAUAACCAGAAUGUCUUGUAGGUCCAUGCUUCUAAUUAAUUCUAAAACUAUAAUGAAUCAUCCAAGAAUUUACAUUCUUUAAAUACCUACUGUGUGCCAGGAACCACACCAGACACUAUACAUACAUUAGAGAGCCAAAUGGACACAUCUCUUCCUCCAAGUCUCUUCUUAAAUAAAAUGAGUUCUUCCAUUUGGAGGUGAUGUUGUGCCGGAGAAUUAGAUUUGGUGUAGCAGGAAUGCAACGAAGAGGAACAUUCAAUGCUGUGGGUGCUCGUUUGUUUUUUCAGCUUCCAAAAUGAGCUCCAUCAGGAGGCUGGAAAAGAAUCCCAGAGAGAGCUAGAAUAGGCUCUGCAGGGAUCUACCUCAGGAGCACCAGAUCUUGAGGGAGAGAAGAGGGAGAUGGUGAGGUGGUGGUGGGGACAGACUGAGACUGGAUUGCAAGUUGUGGGGUGCAUAUGGAGAAGAGCUGGAGAAGGCAGGAGAAGGCUACCUAGAACGGCUUGUGGCUGGCACCAGGGAGCUAAAAGAAAAGUGAGGCACUGAGUGCAGACGCACCCCUCAUAGAGCCCUAUUAACCUGCUGCUAAUGGCGGAAGGUGUGUUUCUCCUGGCCAGUAGGUGUAGCUACCUGCCUCUUCAUUGCCCUUGUAUAGUCCAGCAGAACCACAUGUCCUCUGGUCCCUGGGACUUUGCUGAGUCCAUGGACUUUCUCAGUGAUCCUCUUCUCUUCAUGCCAGCCCCAUCUCAAUGGGCCAGAGUACCUGUAACUCCCCUGAAACUGUAUGUCCUUGACCCCAGAGGAAUAAAGAAGGCAAAGUGCCAGCUUCUGAGUUCCAGUGAUAAAGAUGGAUCAUACUUCCUGUCUGGUCGUGUUGUUGUGAGGAUUAAAGGAGAUAAAGUUUGCAAAGUGGCUAGCGUGGCAUCUUGCACAUACAGGUAUUAAGCAAAGGUUACCCCUUACCACAACCUAUAGGGAUGUUCCUCAACAUUGUAUUAAUCACAGCAUACUUUAAAAGUUUGCAAAGAUGCUCAAUGGUUGAAUAAAUUUAUUGAAAAAUAUUUAAAUUAUUACCAAAAAUGUAUACAUAUGCACAUUUGAAUAAAAUGGUAAUAAUGAAUCCCAUUUACCCCUCAUCUAGCUUCAAAAUUAUCAACUAUUCAAUCUUGUUUCAGCUUCAUUUCCAGCUAUUCUCUUACCUUUUUAUUUUGAAGCUAACCCAGACUUUACAUUAUUUCAACUGCAAAUAUGUCCUCAUGCAUCUUUAAAGAUAAGGACUUCAAAAAAAAACCAUACCAAUAUCUUACCUUAAAAACUUAAUAAUUUUUUAAUAUUUAUUAAAUAUCUAGUCAACUUUAAAUAGCCAAAUGUCUCAUAAAUGUCAUAAUUUUUUAAGUUUAUUUGAUUCAGGAUCCAAAUAUAUUUAAAAACAUAAUAAAAAGUUUGGCAGUAGCUAAAUAUCUAGACUCCUACAAAUUCUGAGUCUCACAUAUUGGCUUUUCCUAAAGUGCAGCAAGGAUAUUGUAUCAUAAUGAAAUAAUACUCCCUCAUUUGGAUGGCAUUACUAAGUGUCUUUGCUUUGUUAAUUCAAUACAAUUAUUUUCUUAAUCUCAACUUGGCCACUAAAUAAAGGUGUGUCCUUGGCUAUUCACUCAACUUGUCCAAGUUGCAGUUUUCAUACUCUGAAAAAGAGAGUGUUGAACUAGAAUUGAUUAUUCAGGCCUGGUGCAAUGACUCACUUAUAAUCCCAGCAAUUUGGGAGGUUAACUCGGGCAGAUGACUUUGAGGUCAGGAGUUCAAAACCAGCCUGGCCAACAUGGUGAAACCUCAUCUCUACUAAAAAUAAAAAAAAAAAAUUGCUGGGCAUGGUGGCAGAUGCCUGUAAAUCCAGCUACUCAGGAGGCUGAGACAGGAGAAUUGCUUGAGCCUGGGAGGCAAAGGUUGCAGUGAGCCACGAUCACAUACUCUAGCCUAGGUGACAAAGAAAGACUCCGUCUCAAAAUAAAUAAAUAAACUUAUUCGGCAUGUUUUAAUUGUGAACCUCCGGGUGGGAGGCAGGACAGCGCAUAGUUGAGAGGAAACAUCCAGCAGAUCCGGCCUAGAGCCCUACCACAUAUAGGCCACAUGAGCUGGGAUUAUUUCCUUAAUCUCUCUUUGUUUCAGUUUCCAAGUCUGUGAAAUGCAAAUGAAAAACAACCAAACCCGGAAGAUUUUUCCUGUAUGCAUAUAGUGGUGGGGUACAGGGAAGGGUGGAUAAAAUGAGAAAAUAUGGGUACAGUGAUUGUCACUAGGAAUCCUUCAGUAAAUAGUCAAUAUAGUUAGGCUAUCAACUGAGGUAGGGGCUGAGGAGAUGAGGCUGGAAGACAGGCAGAGGUGAAAAUUGUGGCAGCCACAUGGCCAUUUAGCACUUGACAUGAAGCUAGUCUGAACUGAGAUUAUCUUGUAAAUAAACUACCCUUUGUACUUCUAAGACAUAGUAUGAACAAACAACAUAAAAUACCUCUAUUUCUGAUGAUUCAUUUAUGCCAAAAUCAUAAUAUGAUGGAUAUAUUGUGUUAAAUAAAUAUUGAAAUGAAUUUUACCCUUUCAAAAUUUUUAUAAAUGUGGCUAUUAAAACAUUUAAAAUUACA